CAUACAGCUCCACAUCAAUUAUUAUGAGUCUUGUUGGUUCGAACCCAAAGGUCCCACACCAACCAUAGUGUUCAACGGCUCUCCUGAUCUUCUCAAAUCUGAAAGUAUCAACUUUAUAAUGGACAAUGUGAACUUAAUAUGUGGAAGACAUUGACAUCACAGGCUGUGGAAUGACUGUGUCACAGGUCGGAGAAGCGGACCACCCCUGUCGUGGAUCACGCUCCUCCUAGUUCCACCUCGAGGAGGUCCCAAAGCACCCCAAUGACCAGACAAACCAGAGAUAAGUAAAAUAUAGAAAUAGAAACUUUAUUUAAAUUAUUUAAAACUAAAGUGGGGAAUGGGAAAGGGAAUCUAAAAAUCUCGCUUCUCGCCCUCAGGGGGAGUAUUACGGGGCCAGGGACGUUGGAGGGGUUUCCACGUGACUCCAGGUGGAACACCGCUACAGAGCGUGUCUGGGUGGGUUGGGCACACACCGUCGUGGCGGCCCCUGAUGGCAUCCACAAAGGUCCAAGACCCUCCUAAGCUUCUAGCCGUAGCAGAACUACGUAUUUCAGCACCCGAAGGACUAACAACCCAGCCGGCAUCUGCAGCGUAUAUCCAACCUGAUCAAACUUCACUCUGACAAGUAACUUCCUAUACACAACCACGCCGUCCUUUCGCCCGGACCAGCCCCGCACUCUUUCCGCCCGCUACCUAGCGGUCGCCGGAUCAGCAGAGGCUGCGGACUCUUCGGAGGCUGGUCUUCGUUGUGCUGCCCAAGUUGACUCGCCAGAAAAUCGACCCUUCCAGUAACUUCUACCUUCUCUCUUUAUAUCCUCCUCCAUGGCGUGGCUCGCCCAACCAUCGCUCGCCACGUCACUCACACAGCUGUGCCUUGUUUCAGCGAGUGCGGGGAUUCACGGGGAACCCGGAAGUGCCGGUGUCUGUACAAACCGGUCCGGGCGGAACCUCUUCACUCUCGCCCCGCCCCGCAUAGUCACUCCGUGACAACUGUUUGCGUUUUUUUUUUCCUCAAUGUUCAAUACCCUUUUGCCAUUAAGCACACAGUGACUUUAAUUUAUAAAAUAUAUGCUUAAGUUUUAAUACCUGUACAAAACAAAUGUACAAUCAACUUGUGUAAAUUGUCAUUCUAUUUAAUAGAUUGUUCAUGAAUUGUCUUUAAAUGCAUUGUGAUUUCGGUAACACUUUACAAUAAAGUUCAUUAGUUAACAUUAGUUAAUGUAUUAACUAACUUGAACAAACCAUAAGCAAUACAUUUGUUACAGUAUUUAUUCAUCUUUGUUAAUGUUAGUUAAUAAAAAUUUAAGCUUUAAUUGCUUGUUCAUGUUAGUUCAGAGUGCAUUAACUAAUGUUAACAAGAUUUUAAUAAAUUAUUAGUAAUUGUUGAAAUUAACAUUAACAAAGAUUAAUAAAGGCUGUAUAAGUGCAGUUCAUUAUUAGUUCAUGUUAACUAAUGUAGCUAACUAAUGUUAACUAAUGAACCUUAUUGUAAAGUGUUACCGUGAUUUCUUUUCAUCAUUUCAGACACAUGUAAAAGUUACUAAAAAUUUGUACUGCAUAUACUGUACAGUAUCUAUGCGUAAGGGAAAUAACUUGAACACAUUUUUUAAUGUAUAGUGUAAUUAAGAGUUUAGCUGUUUAAUACAGAGAUGCAAUUUAUUUAUAUAUAUUAUUUAUAUAUAAACGUAUGUAUGUUUAUUAAAAAGUGAAAAUGCUUAAUGGAAAUAAUUAAAUAACUAAAUGGUUGAA